CCCAGGUCCAGACAUAGUAAGGAUUGACAGAUUGAGAUCUCUUUCUUGAUUCUAUGGGUGGUGGUGGAUGGUUGCUCUUAGUUGGUGGAGUGAUUUUUCUGGUUAAUUUCGAUAAUGAACGAGACCUCAGCCUACUAACUGGCUACGUGGAGGUUCCCCUUCGCAACCAAUGUCUUAGAGGGACUAUGGUCGUUUAGGUCAUGGAAGUUUGAGGCAAUGAUAGGUCUGUGAUGCCCUUAGAUGUUCUGGGCUACAUGCAUGCUACAUUGAUGCAUUCGACGAGUUUUUCUCACUGGUUUGAGAGGAUCAAGAAAUUAUUGCAUUGUGAUGGGGAUAGACAAUUGAAAUUAGUGGUCUUCAAUGAGGAAUUCCUAGUAAGCGUGUUUCAUCAUCUCAUGUUGACUACAUCCAUUCCCUUUGUACACACCACCCAUCGCUCCUACCAAUUGAAUGAUCUAGUGAAGUGUUUGGAUCGCGUCAGUGAGGGUGGUUCAUCGUCGAUGAUGUCGUGAGAAGUUCACUGAAACUUAUCAUAUAGAGGAAGGAUAAGUCAUAACAAGGUUACCGUAGGUGAACCUUCCAAAUAUUUAUGU
rnacentral:ncRNA from 1 species